CGGAUGCUCCAGUUGAUCGCAUGGUCUUCUGGGAAAGCUUUCGCGGUAUGGGAUGGGGUCGCGUCCUAUCAGCUUGACGGCGGGGUAACGGCCCACCGUGGCUUCGACGGGUAGCCGGCCUGAGAGGGCGACCGGCCACAUUGGGACUGAGAUACGGCCCAGACUCCUACGGGAGGCAGCAGUGGGGAAUAUUGCACAAUGGGCGCAAGCCUGAUGCAGCGACGCCGCGUGAGGGAUGGAGGCCUUCGGGUUGUAAACCUCUUUUAUCGGGGAGCAAGCGAGAGUGAGUUUACCCGUUGAAUAAGCACCGGCUAACUACGUGCCAGCAGCCGCGGUAAUACGUAGGGUGCAAGCGUUAUCCGGAAUUAUUGGGCGUAAAGGGCUCGUAGGCGGUUCGUCGCGUCCGGUGUGAAAGUCCAUCGCUUAACGGUGGAUCCGCGCCGGGUACGGGCGGGCUUGAGUGCGGUAGGGGAGACUGGAAUUCCCGGUGUAACGGUGGAAUGUGUAGAUAUCGGAAAA
rnacentral:rRNA from 1 species